ACCGACAGCCGAUACGGAAAACGAUGGCGGCAACGGCGGCAACGACGAUGUUGAGCGUGCCAACAGCGAGAGCGAUGUGUGCACCUUCUCGCGCGUUGGAAAUCUUAGCUGUGGUGAAGCCGUGACCCCCUACAGUGUCCACAUAACCCGUGGCCAUGGCUGCAGCAGCACGGCGUGUAAUCUGGAUGGACAUGUCAGGGUACACGUGCAAUCUCUCCAAGACAACGAUCCUCCACCUCAAGAACAGCUUCUCCUCAAUGAUAAGUAGCGAG